rnacentral:lncRNA from 1 species
GAAAUGAAUAAUUUAAAAUACCACUAAAAGCAAAUAUUUAAUUUUAGAAAAAUAAACAAAAAGUGGACCCUAGAAGUUAUGGACCACGGGUGUAUCUAUCAGUCAGGCCCCCCAUGCCAUGCAUGCGGCCCCAAAUGAAUCCUGACCCUGCCUUAUUUGCAGUCUCAACACAAAACAAACCACACAUUUCGACCAAAAACAAAACAACACAAAUCAAGAACG